GCGUAAGCGCACGCAGGCGGUCUGUCAAGUCGGAUGUGAAAUCCCCGGGCUCAACCUGGGAACUGCAUUCGAAACUGGCAGGCUAGAGUCUUGUAGAGGGGGGUAGAAUUCCAGGUGUAGCGGUGAAAUGCGUAGAGAUCUGGAGGAAUACCGGUGGCGAAGGCGGCCCCCUGGACAAAGACUGACGCUCAGGUGCGAAAGCGUGGGGAGCAAACAGGAUUAGAUACCCUGGUAGUCCACGCCGUAAACGAUGUCGACUUGGAGGUUGUGCCCUUGAGGCGUGGCUUCCGGAGCUAACGCGUUAAGUCGACCGCCUGGGGAGUACGGCCGCAAGGUUAAAACUCAGAUGAAUUGACGGGGGCCCGCACAAGCGG
rnacentral:rRNA from 1 species